UAAUUCGCAUGAAUUUAUGAUUAAAGCUUCGGCGGUUAAAGAUAAGCAUGCGUCCUAUUAGUUAGUAGGUGAGGUAACGGUUGACCUAGACUACGAUAGGUAGGGGUCCUGAGAGGGAGAUCCCCCACACUGGUACUGAGACACGGACCAGACUCCUACGGGAGGCAGCAGUGAGGAAUAUUGGACAAUGGACG
rnacentral:rRNA from 1 species